rnacentral:rRNA from 1 species
GGCGGCGUGCCUAAUACAUGCAAGUAGAACGCUGAAGGAGGAGCUUGCUCUUCUGGAUGAGUUGCGAACCGGGUGAGUAACGCGUAGGUAACCUGCCUGGUAGCGGGGGAUAACUAUUGGAAACGAUAGCUAAUACCGCAUAACAUUGACUAUUGCAUGAUAGUUAAUUGAAAGGUGCAAAUGCACCACUACCAGAUGGACCUGCGUUGUAUUAGCUAGUUGGUGGGGUAACGGCUCACCAAGGCGACGAUACAUAGCCGACCUGAGAGGGUGAUCGGCCACACUGGGAUGAGACACGGCCCAGACUCCUACGGGAGGCAGCAGUAGGGAAUCUUCGGCAAUGGACGGAAGUCUGACCGAGCAAACGCCGCCGUGAGUGAAAGAAAGGUUUUUCGGGAUUCG